UUGAAUUUCUGAUCCUUCUGACUCCCCGUCAGUGCCGGGGGUUUCAGCCGUACCCAUACAGAGCUUCUCGGUCUGUUUUGUUCACAUUAUUCCCAAAGUGUCUCCCUCCUCCAGUCCCCUCACAUUGGCUCCCUUUCUACUCCUUCACUGUAAGUUCCAGCAUACUCCACCUCCCACAGGAACCCUCCUGUGACUUCCCUUUGACACUGGGAUGAGGCCCAGAGAGGGGAAGGCAUUUAUUCAAGGUCACACAGCAGAGGAAGUAAGAAUGAUCCGAAAAAGGCUUCGCUGGUGAAAGAGGAUGACAAGAGAUCCCCCGAAGUGACCACCCACCCCCAGAUGAAGGGAGCCAGAGGAGGGCAUCUGGAACUGAACUUAGGCCGUUUUUGCCACCAUGCAGGGUGCUGGGAGCAUAACCCUGAUCCUCUGCAGACCAACGGAUGCUGUAACCCACCAAGCUGCCUCAUCAGCUCCUGGGAGGCCAUGUGAUGAAGAUUGAUGAGCUCUGGGACACAGGUGGACUGUAAGACCUUGCUGGAGCAGCUGGGAGGCCACACUCAUGGGACAUGGGCACUCUAGUGCAAGGGCAAGGUUGACUGGAGAUUCUGCAGGUUCUUGGAGCUAUUGCAGGCUCUUCCUGGAUAGAGAAAUCAGGGAGGCUUCUGGGGCCUUCUUUUGAUGGUAGUAAGACUUGAACCCAGGGCCUCACACCUAGGCAUGAGCUCUACCAGAGGUAUGUCCCAGCCUUUCCAUGUUUUCAACAUUCCUUCAAAGUGUGUGCAUGUGGGUUAUAUAUGGUCUGUGUGGGUGAGUGCAGGUGGCUUUGGGGUUCAGAAGAGGACACUGGAUCCUGGAGCUGGAGUUACAGGUGGUUGAGAACUACCUGACAUGCUGGGAACCAAACUCUGGUCUCCUACAAGAGCAGCAACCAUUCUUAAGCACGGAGCCAGCUCUGUAGCCUUGUCCGAUCAUUCUGUGAGACAGGUUCAUUAUGUUACUCUGGAAGGCUUUGAACUUCCGAUGCUCCUGCCUCAGACUCCCAAGUACCUGGAAUUACAGGUGUAGUGUGUGGACCAUGGAACACCUGAGGACAACUUGCAGUAGUCACUUGUCCUUGCCUUGUAGGGAUCAAAUUCAAGUUGCCAGUCCUGCACAUUAAUGCAUCUACUUGCUGAGCCAUCCCAGUGACUUUUUUUUUUUCCAAGACAGGGUUUCUCUGUAUAGCCCUGACUGUCCUGG